UCUCUAUAGAAAUUCCCGAAUUCCCUGAUCCCACUGCAUUCCCUGCUCUCAGGAAUUCCCAAAUUCCCUGAUCCCACUGCAUUCCCUGCUCUCAGAAAUUCCCGAAUUUCCUGAAUUCCCUGAUCCCACUGCAUUCCCCUCUCAGGAAUUCCAGAAAUUCCCUAAAUUCGGAGCCUUCACCUCCCCCUGCUGGCAGAUCCCGCUCUGUCCCGGACCUCCCAUUCCCAAAUUUCCCCAAUUUGCAGGACAAAUUCUCUCUUUUUUCCUGAACCUCCCAUUCCCAAAUUUCCCCAAUUUNGGGGGCGGCUGCGGCUCCCGCCGGGACCCAGCGGGGCAAAACCGUCCCGGGACUAUCCCGGGUUAAAUCCCAAAUUCUGGGUUAAAUCCCAAAUUCUGGGUUAAAUCCCAAACCCGCGGGUUAAAUCCCAAAUUCUGGGGUUAAAUCCCAAAUUCUGGGUUAAAUCCCAUAUCCUCAGGUUAAAUCCCAAACCCUCGGGUUAAAUCCCAAAUUCUGGGUUAAAUCCCAAAUCCUCAGGUUAAAUCCCAAACCCUCGGUUAAAUCCCAAAUUCUGGGGUUAAAUCCCCAAAUUCU
rnacentral:lncRNA from 1 species